AUUUUAAAUUGACUCAAGCCGAAGACAGCAGGAGCGAAAAUGCUUAAAAAUUCCUGCCUAGGUUGAUGCAGAUACUAAUAAAAGGUGAGAUUCUUUAAACCAGAAUUAAACCACUUAUAUUAAAAACUAUCUUAAAAAUCAUCAACCAAAAACCCGGCUAGAAAUAGUAAGGGUUUUUUAUUUUAAGUC
rfam:Cyanobacterium stanieri PCC 7202, complete genome.